rnacentral:rRNA from 1 species
AGAGUUUGAUCCUGGCUCAGGACGAACGCUGGCGGCGUGCCUAACACAUGCAAGUCGAACGGAGCUUGCCCCUUCGGGGACAAGCUUAGUGGCGGACGGGUGAGUAACGCGUGAGUAACCUGCCUUUCAGUGGGGGACAACAGUUGGAAACGACUGCUAAUACCGCAUAAUGUUUCGAGAGGGCAUCCUUUUGAAACCAAAGAUUUAUUGCUGAAAGAUGGACUCGCGUCUGAUUAGCUAGUUGGUGGGGUAACGGCCCACCAAGGCGACGAUCAGUAGCCGGACUGAGAGGUUGAACGGCCACAUUGGGACUGAGAUACGGCCCAGACUCCUACGGGAGGCAGCAGUGGGGAAUAUUGGGCAAUGGGGGAAACCCUGACCCAGCAACGCCGCGUGAAGGAAGAAGGCCUUCGGGUUGUAAACUUCUUUUAGCAGGGACGAAGGACGUGACGGUACCUGCAGAAAAAGCAACGGCUAACUAUGUGCCAGCAGCCGCGGUAAUACGUAGGUUGCAAGCGUUGUCCGGAUUUACUGGGUGUAAAGGGCGUGUAGGCGGAGAUGCAAGUUGGGAGUGAAAUCCCGGGGCUCAACCCCGGAACUGCUUUCAAAACUGUAUCCCUUGAGUGUCGGAGAGGCAAGCGGAAUUCCUAGUGUAGCGGUGAAAUGCGUAGAUAUUAGGAGGAACACCAGUGGCGAAGGCGGCUUGCUGGACGAUAACUGACGCUGAGGCGCGAAAGCGUGGGGAGCAAACAGGAUUAGAUACCCUGGUAGUCCACGCUGUAAACGAUGAAUACUAGGUGUGGGAGGGCUGACCCUUUCCGUUCCGCAGUUAACCCAAUAAGUAUUCCACCUGGGGAGUACGACCGCAAGGUUGAAAACUCAAAGGAAUUGACGGGGGCCCGCACAAGCAGUAGAUUAUGUGGUUUAAUUCGACGCAACGCGAAGAACCUUACCAGGAUUUGACAUCCUGCUAACGAAGCAGAGAUGCAUUAGGUGCCCUUCGGGGAAAGUAGAGACAGGUGGUGCAUGGUUGUCGUCAGCUCGUGUCGUGAGAUGUUGGGUUAAGUCCCGCAACGAGCGCAACCCCUAUUGUUAGUUGCUACGCAAGAGCACUCUAGCGAGACUGCCGUUGACAAAACGGAGGAAGGCGGGGACGACGUCAAAUCAUCAUGCCCCUUAUGUCCUGGGCUACACACGUAAUACAAUGGUGGUAAACAGAGGGAAGCAAGACUGCGAAGUGGAGCAAAUCCCUAAAAGCCAUCUCAGUUCGGAUUGCAGGCUGCAACUCGCCUGCAUGAAGCUGGAAUUGCUAGUAAUCGCGGAUCAGCAUGCCGCGGUGAAUACGUUCCCGGGCCUUGCACACACCGCCCGUCA